CGGGACGGGUGAGUAACGCGUGGAGAACCUGCCGUAUACUGGGGGAUAACACUUAGAAAUAGGUGCUAAUACCGCAUAAGCGCACAGCUUCGCAUGAAGCAGUGUGAAAAACUCCGGUGGUAUACGAUGGAUCCGCGUCUGAUUAGCUGGUUGGCGGGGUAAAGGCCCACCAAGGCGACGAUCAGUAGCCGGCCUGAGAGGGUGAACGGCCACAUUGGGACUGAGACACGGCCCAAACUCCUACGGAAGGCAGCAG
rnacentral:rRNA from 1 species